rnacentral:rRNA from 1 species
UGGGGAAUUUUGCGCAAUGGGGGAAACCCUGACGCAGCAACGCCGCGUGGAGGAUGAAGUCCUUCGGGACGUAAACUCCUUUCGAUCGGGACGAUUAUGACGGUACCGGAAGAAGAAGCCCCGGCUAACUUCGUGCCAGCAGCCGCGGUAAUACGAGGGGGGCGAGCGUUGUUCGGAAUUAUUGGGCGUAAAGGGUGCGUAGGCGGUUUGGUAAGUCUUUUGUGAAAUCUCUGGGCUCAACUCAGAGUCUGCAUGAGAAACUGCCGGGCUUGAGUGUGGGAGAGGUGAGUGGAAUUUCCGGUGUAGCGGUGAAAUGCGUAGAUAUCGGAAGGAACACCUGUGGCGAAAGCGGCUCACUGGACCACAACUGACGCUGAUGCACGAAAGCUAGGGGAGCAAACAGGAUUAGAUACCCCCGUAGUCC